AGUGAACGCUGGCGGUAGGCCUAACACAUGCAAGUCGAACGGCAGCACAGUAAGAGCUUGCUCUUACGGGUGGCGAGUGGCGGACGGGUGAGGAAUACAUCGGAAUCUACUUUUUCGUGGGGGAUAACGUAGGGAAACUUACGCUAAUACCGCAUACGACCUACGGGUGAAAGCAGGGGGUCUUCGGACCUUGCGCGAUUGAAUGAGCCGAUGUCGGAUUAGCUAGUUGGCGGGGUAAAGGCCCACCAAGGCGACGAUCCGUAGCUGGUCUGAGAGGAUGAUCAGCCACACUGGAACUGAGACACGGUCCAGACUCCUACGGGAGGCAGCAGUGGGGAAUAUUGGACAAUGGGCGCAAGCCUGAUCCAGCCAUACCGCGUGGGUGAAGAAGGCCUACGGGUUGUAAAGCCCUUUUGUUGGGAAAGAAAAGCAGCAGGUUAAUACCCCGCUGUUCUGACGGUACCCAAAGAAUAAGCACCGGCUAACUUCGUG
rnacentral:rRNA from 1 species